rnacentral:tRNA from 1 species
UGCCCCAUGGCUAAGUUGGUCAAAGCGUCCGACUGUUAAUCGGAAGGUCGUCAGUUCGAGCCUGACUGGGGCAG